UACGAAGGGUGCUAGCGUUGUUCGGAAUCACUGGGCGUAAAGCGCGCGUAGGCGGCUUUUCAAGUCAGGGGUGAAAUCCUUGGGCUCAACCCAAGAAUUGCCUUUGAAACUGUAAAGCUGGAGUACUGGAGGGGAUAGCGGAAUUCCUAAUGUAGAGGUGAAAUUCGUAGAUAUUAGGAGGAACACCGGUGGCGAAGGCGGCUAUCUGGACAGUAACUGACGCUGAGGCGCGAAAGCGCGGGGAUCAAACAGG
rnacentral:rRNA from 1 species